AGGAAGAACUGGGCUGGGAGGGUGCCCUUAUUGCCCCCCCCCCCCUUGACAAGCAGGGCAGGGGGGCUGGGAGCCAGGACUCCUGGGUCCUAUUCCUGGCUUUGCUGCCACAGACUCACGGUGUGACCUUGCCGGAGUCCCUUCCCCACCAUGUGCCUCGGUUUCCCCAUUCAUACAAUGUGGAUAAAGACUCUGCCCCUGUCCUGGGAUGGCUGUGAGGUUUGGGCUCUCGCACUCCAGCACCAGCCCGGGGGAGCACAGGAGAACCCUGGCUGCAGCACUCGCCCCCAGGGCAGGUCACCGAGCUCUGAGAAGCAGGAAGUGCCCCAAUGUGAGGAAAGGCAGGAAACGCUGCAGCGAGGGCUCUUCAUUUGCAGACCUGUGAGGGGAAGCACCGGUGAAGUCAGUGAGUGCCGUCAACCCUGGCAGGGCCUGAAGACAGCCCGUCCCCCCAGCCGCCCUACGCACAGAGGGGAAAUGAAGACCAGCAUCUCCCCCGACCCUGUGCUCCCUCUCUCAAGCUAGCCUUGCACAAAGAACAGACACCCCCUCAAA